GCGCUUUUACGUCUCCGGCUUAACACGGCCAUCAGAGGACUGUUCAACGAUGUGGGAGGAGCUUAAGAACCUGCGCACGGGUUCGAAGGAGGUGCCGUGUCGAGGAGCUGCCUCUCUGCCCAAGGACCCAGGAAGCUGCGUUGGCGCUGCAAUUGUGCGCCGUCGGAGUCCUUCGCCACGCUUUGGCCUUACUGGAGACGUGCGCUGGAGCGCUGAGGUCAUCGUCCACAGAGCCAUCGGUCCAAGCAGGAAGAUGAGACGCACAAGUCGGGACACGUCUGCUGCGUUUCCCCAGGACCCAGGGGCUAAAGAAGCGGGAAAAACGGGCACGCAGAACGCAGAGCGCAGAACGCAGAGCGCAGGCUGAGCACUUCACUCAAGGCGGGGUGCCGCAGCCGGAGGCGGUAUUCGAACCCGGGGCCUUGGGCUGCCCUGUGACUGCGCUAACCGGCAGGGCACCUGCUUUUCGGUGUGUUCCUUCAACACGGCCGUGUUUCGGCCGCAGCGCCACGCGUGUCUCUCCGUGGAAUUAAGCGGAAGGGACUGGAGUGCCCCCCCCCAAGGCAGGAGCCGCUCCGGGGUCUCGAGCCGCCGCGAGCGCCGCGAUGUCAUGAAUGUGAAGUAAUUGAUUUCCUCCUGGUUCCAGAAGCCCUUCCUCCUUCGCUGCCUCCGCUCAUCUCCGCCUGUUGUCUAACCUUCCUCUUCAUCCAUCUCAUCUCGAGCUGAUGGGAACUGCUUUCAUCGCGCUACUCCUGGGGGGGUCGCGCGGGAGGGGGAAGCGGGUCGGGGGGGGGGGCACAAUCUCCCCAUUCAUGGACUCUCCUCGCAGCCCGCGCCGCACAAAAACCCCGCCGGCCCUGA
rnacentral:lncRNA from 1 species